GGCCUCGCGGCCCAGCAGAGUUCCACGAGGCCGGGAAGGAUCGGAGGGAGGUCCCCCCGAGAGGCUCAGAGAGCACGGGGGACACAGAGCGAUUCGGCAGCCUCCAGGAGAUAUCUAACCCGGGAGGAGAGCUCUCCCGCCCCGGUAGAAGCGGAAGCCCUGAGGGGGGGGGGGUCCCGUCCCCACGGAAGUCUGGAAGGGAGCGAGGUGCCGAAAACGGCCGGGCUUGGAGAGCUACAGCCUGGGAGACGGGGGCCCGGACCUCGGCCCCUUCCGGGACGGAAGUCCGGAAGGGAGCGAGGUGCCUAAAACGGCCGGGCUUGGAGAGCUCCAUCCCGGGAGAGGGGGGCCCGGACGUCGGCCCCUUCCGGGACGGAAGUCCGGAAGGGAGAGAGGUGGCAAAAACGGCCGGGCUUGGAGAGCUCCAUCCCGGGAGAGGGGGGCCCGGACCUCGGCCCCUUCCGGGACGGAAGUCCGGAAGGGAGAGAGGGUGCGAGAUCGGCCGGGCCGGGAGCGCUCCCGCCUGGGUGAGGGGGUCCCGACCGCCCCCCUCCAGGUGGAAGUCCUCAAGGGAGCGACCCGCCGGAGUCCGCGGGACCCCGAGGGCUCCUGCCCGGCCACGGGGGAGGGCGUCCGACCUCCCCCGGUACCCGACGGCGUCCUCGAAAUAUCGCAAAGUGCCCGGAACCCCAAUGGACGGGAAAGCGCGGGGCCGCGGAAGCCCCGAUGAGAGCGGAUCUGCCCCUCCGCGGCCGGGGGGAGUUCCGCGGGGCCGGCCGGGAUCGGAGCGAGGUCCCCCGGGAGGCUCCGAGGGCACGCGGGACACGGCCCCGCCAGGCAGCCUCCAGGAGAUCUGGGGGAGACGGGGACCGUGGAGCUCUGGAUCGGAAAGGAGCGGGCCGCGGAAGCCCCGAUGAGAGCGGAUCUGCCCCUCGGCGGCCGGGGGGAGUUCCGCGGGGCCGGCCCGGAUCGGAGCGAGGUCCCCCGGGAGGCUCCGAGGGCACGCGGGACACGGCCCUGCCAGGCAGCCUCCAGGAGAUCUGGGGGAGACGGGGACCGUGGAGCUCUGGAUCGGAAAGGAGCGGGCCGCGGAAGCCCCGAUGAGAG